CCUCGAUGUCGGCUCAUCACAUCCUGGGGCUGAAGUAGGUCCCAAGGGUAUGGCUGUUCGCCAUUUAAAGUGGUACGCGAGCUGGGUUUAGAACGUCGUGAGACAGUUCGGUCCCUAUCUGCCGUGGGCGCUGGAGAAUUGAGGGGGGCUGCUCCUAGUACGAGAGGACCGGAGUGGACGCAUCACUGGUGUUCGGGUUGUCAUGCCAAUGGCACUGCCCGGUAGCUAAAUGCGGAAGAGAUAAGUGCUGAAAGCAUCUAAGCACGAAACUUGCCCCGAGAUGAGUUCUCCCUGAGACUWUAAGUCUCCUGAAGGAACGUURAAGACKAYGACGUUGAUAGGCCGGGUGUGUAAGCGCAGCGAUGCGUUGAGCUAACCGGUACUAAUGAACCGUGAGGCUUAACCUU
rnacentral:rRNA from 1 species